CACGUAGUUAGCCGGUGCUUAUUCUUACGGUACCGUCAUGACCCCUCUUUAUUAGAAAGAGGCUUUUCGUUCCGUACAAAAGCAGUUUACAACCCGAAGGCCUUCAUCCUGCACGCGGCAUGGCUGGAUCAGGCUUUCGCCCAUUGUCCAAAAUUCCCCACUGCUGCCUCCCGUAGGAGUCUGGGCCGUGUCUCAGUCCCAGUGUGGCUGAUCAUCCUCUCAGACCAGCUACAGAUCGUCGGCUUGGUAAGCUUUUAUCCCACCAACUACCUAAUCUGCCAUCGGCCGCUCCGUCCGCGCGAGGUCCGAAGAUCCCCCGCUUUCAUCCGUAGAUCGUAUGCGGUAUUAGCAAAGCUUUCGCCUCGUUAUCCCCCACGAUCGGGCACGUUCCGAUGUAUUACUCACCCGUUCGCCACUCGUCAGCAUCCGAAGACCUGUUACCGUUCGACUUGCAUGUGUAAGGCAUGCCGCCAGCGUUCAAUCUGAGCCAGGAUCAAACUCU
rnacentral:rRNA from 1 species